CGCCUUGCCAGCCCGCUCAGAAACUCAAAUGAAUUGGACGGGGGCCCGCACAAGCGGUGGAGUAUGUGGUUUAAUUCGAUGCAACGCGAAGAACCUUACCUAGGUUUGACAUCCGGAAGACCUUCCCGAAAAGGAAGGGUGCCCUUCGGGGAAUUCCGAGACAGGUGCUGCAUGGCUGUCGUCAGCUCGUGCCGUGAGGUGUUGGGUUAAGUCCCGCAACGAGCGCAACCCUAUUGCCAGUUGCUACCAGGUAAUGCUGGGCACUCUGGUGAGACUGCCCCGGUUAACGGGGAGGAAGGUGGGGACGACGUCAAGUCAUCAUGGCCCUUACGCCUAGGGCUACACACGUACUACAAUGGCGCAUACAAAGGGCAGCGAUACCGCGAGGUGGAGCCAAUCCCAAAAAGUGCGUCCCAGUCCGGAUUGCAGUCUGCAACUCGACUGCAUGAAGUUGGAAUCGCUAGUAAUUCGAGAUCAGCAUGCUCGGGUGAAUGCGUUCCCGGGCCUU
rnacentral:rRNA from 1 species